rnacentral:lncRNA from 1 species
CCAUUAUAAGGAUGGGUUCUAUGACCAUAGUUGUACUUGGCCACUGUUGCCCCUACCUACAGUUUCGCAAAUCCAUUCUCGUUAUAGGGAACUCUCAUCAUUCACAGGAAGCGAUUCGCCAAUAUUUUCAUAUUCAGAGACAACAAACUAAUGGAUUUUUAAUCCUUUACCUUUUCUCACUCAUAUCCAUCCUUAAUUCACAUAUACCGAACCUGUGGGUUCCUUUCACUUACCUCGGCACAAGGCCCAUCAUAACACAACUCAAAUGAGUACUUAACAUAUCAACACAAUGCAAUACGAUAGUACAUCAGUCAUAUUCAAUGUCACUUGCUUUCAUAAUCAAGUAAAAUAGCAAACAAUAUCAUGCAUCAUAAUGAUCAGUUAAUUAAUCUAAAAAGAGCACUUAGAGGUGUAAAUAGAAAUACAAGAUCCCUUACCAACACUUGGCGAGUAACCAGACUUCUAAAAGUGGGAUGGAGGGGUAAUUUACAUUUUGGACUCCUUUGGCAAAUCUUAUAGGCUUCUUCCUUGCUUUAUCUCUCGAGAACUUCACUUUCUAUCUCUAGAAUUUUGUUUUCUCUCUCUAGAAAAUAGACGCAGGAAGAAGGGAAAA